rnacentral:rRNA from 1 species
UACGUAGGGGGCAAGCGUUGUCCGGAAUCAUUGGGCGUAAAGCGUGUGUAGGCGGGCGGGCAAGUACCUUGUGAAAUCCCACGGCUCAACCGUGGAACUGCUGGGUAUACUGCCUGUCUUGAGCCAGCCAGGGGCAGUCGGAACAGACGGUGGAGCGGUGAAAUGCGUAGAUAUCGUCUGGAACGCCAAAGGUGAAAACAGACUGCUGGGGCUGUGCUGACGCUGAGACACGAAAGCCAGGGGAGCGAACGGGG